rnacentral:rRNA from 1 species
CCUACGGGUGGCAGCAGUGGGGAAUAUUGCACAAUGGGCGCAAGCCUGAUGCAGCCAUGCCGCGUGUAUGAAGAAGGCCUUCGGGUUGUAAAGUACUUUCAGCGGGGAGGAAGGCGAUAAGGUUAAUAACCUUGUCGAUUGACGUUACCCGCAGAAGAAGCACCGGCUAACUCCGUGCCAGCAGCCGCGGUAAUACGGAGGGUGCAAGCGUUAAUCGGAAUUACUGGGCGUAGAGCGCACGCAGGCGGUCUGUCAAGUCGGAUGUGAAAUCCCCGAGCUCAACCUGGGAACUGCAUUCGAAACUGGCAGGCUGGAGUCUUGUAGAGGGGGGUAGAAUUCCAGGUGUAGCGGUGAAAUGCGUAGAGAUCUGGAGGAGUACCGGUGGCGAAGGCGGCCCCCUGGACGAAGACUGACGCUUAGGUGCGAAAGCGUGGGGAGCAAACAGGAGUAGAUACCCCGGUAGUC